rnacentral:tRNA from 1 species
GUUUGUAGGUAGGGAGGCGAUUUGACUCGUGCCCUUCAUGUGGGGACGGAUACCAGCAGAGAUCGCAUUGCUGCUGCAGACUC